GACGAACGCUGGCGGCGUGCUUAACACAUGCAAGUCGAACGAUGAAGCCUAGCUUGCUAGGUGGAUUAGUGGCGAACGGGUGAGUAAUACGUGAGUGACCUACCUUUGACUCUGGGAUAAGCCUGGGAAACUGGGUCUAAUACCGGAUACGACCAAUCUCCGCAUGGAGUGUUGGUGGAAAGCGUUAUGGAGUGGUUUUAGAUGGGCUCACGGCCUAUCAGCUUGUUGGUGAGGUAAUGGCUUACCAAGGCGACGACGGGUAGCCGGCCUGAGAGGGUGACCGGCCACACUGGGACUGAGACACGGCCCAGACUCCUACGGGAGGCAGCAGUGGGGAAUAUUGCACAAUGGGCGCAAGCCUGAUGCAGCGACGCCGCGUGAGGGAUGACGGCCUUCGGGUUGUAAACCUCUGUUAGCAUCGAAGAAGCGAAAGUGACG
rnacentral:rRNA from 1 species